GGUCAUAGAAGAAUGUUGUUUAAUUGAACGAAGGUAGUGUGCAUAAUUUUACAUGCAUACAAAAUGAAGUCAACAUGAAGCUUAGCGAAGGUAAUAGUGCUUGUUUGGAAAUGGUCCACAAUACAACGGCUGCAAUGGUCCACAUUGGCAUCCCAAAGAUGUGGAUGAGUUUUGGCAACAAGUUUUUUGAUUUCGUUACCUGUACUUUUUUUUCUGACCUGAUUAUCAUGAAUAGGGAUCGAAAAGAUACUUUUUUGCGGACUUA